GUGAAUACUACUUCAAAGCAUAUAAUCCAGCCUAAUAUAAAGUUGAAAUCUGUUCAUCAAAAGUUUUUAAUUUUUAAGAUUACUGGCUCAAUGAUACUUAUAGAAAAUCGAAAGCUGAUCCCAAUGAAUAUUUUUUAGGAUAAAACAUUUUUUUCUUCUGUAUCAUAGGAGAUGGAUACAGAGUGAUGGAUUUGAUGAGGCAGGUUAUGCUAUAUGAAGGAUAUCUUAAAAUGAAAAAAUAAUUUAUACUGAACAAAUCACAGUGUGGUUGUAAUAUUGAAGAAAGUGAUUUAUUCUCUGUAGCUUAGUUGUGCUUUCUAAAUGUAUAUCUAGUAACUAGAAUUUAUAUGUGUACCCAGAUUCAAUGAAAUGAUUUUCUAUUUGAAGUAAUUUUUCAUUGAAAAUUUAACACACUUUCUUUGAAAAUCUUUUUUUUUGCAUGUGUUUCUGUAUUGAAACACUUAUAGGAACUAUAAUGAUUCAUGGCAAAAAAUGUAUUUACCUGG
rnacentral:lncRNA from 1 species